rnacentral:lncRNA from 1 species
AAACGAUACCCCCCCCUUUUUUUUCUUAAAAUUUAGAUUCAGUGUAUGAAGGUUUUGGAAUGUAAAUCUUAAAGUGAUCUUUGGAAGACUCAGUCAGUUUGAAGUUUGCUGGUUAAUUGGAAACCUGGCUUUAUCUUGGCUCCCCUGCCAGUUUCCAUCAGAGGUCUCUCCACUAUGCCAGGGGAGCUGCUUGCUGAAGCCCGCAGUCAUCUUUCACGCUCACCCCGACACACUGAAAACCCACUCCCCCACUCCCAGUAGGCAGAAGGGAAGGCAUUCAUAACACCAUGCCUGCCUAAUGCUGCCCCUUGACAACUCUUUGAAACAUUUGUAUCCUGCUUCCUUGGCAGUGAGAAGGAAAUAUUGAGAAUCAUGCUUCCUCUACGAAUUUCUGAAAAUUUAGAGAAUCAGAGAGGAGAAAUGAGGAGAGAGGGAAGAGAAGAGCAGGGAGAUGAAGGGGGUGGGGGAAAACUGGAAGAAAUCCGGUGAGAGAGAUCUUGGUGGCUAGACAUCUUUUUCAACUCCUCCAUCCCUCCACAACUGCCACAAAGCUUGAGUUAGCUUUCAGCCUUGGGGACCCAACUGUUUUUCAAAUUUUGGUUAAAAGAAAGGCUUUUAUGAGUCAGAGUAGACUAACUCCACUACCUUCACAGCCCCAUGUAAAGGUGUUGUUGCUUGGAAGCAGAGUUAGGAGAAAUGCAAAGAUUUUAGAAUUACACUAGCAGCUGGGAAAAAGCAAAACACACUACCCCACACCAAAUUUGAAGUUUUAAAAAUGCCCUUUUGUUUUGUAAUUUUGGAGGCAACCUAGCUGUGUAAUUAUAUUUGCUCUUACAGAAGACGGCAUCAGAGUUCCCUUAUUGGUUUGAAAUUCCAUUAAAUAUAUUGCAAGAGCUCCUAGGUUAAGCUUGAUUUAAAUUUGCAUACAUUUUCAUAUAUUUAGCUGAAAUAAAAGAAGGCUUGCAGCUACCAGAAAGUCAUUAAGGCAUUAGUUUCUCUAAGAAGACAGAUCUGAAGAAAAUGCAAGAAAAUGAGAAAAAAAAAAUAAGAACAAGGGAUGGAAAUGAAGAGGAGCCUGAGGAAAAGAAGGUCCAGUGACAGGCCCUAAGUGGGAUCCAGCUCAAGAGGAGGUUCCAAGGACUGACACAGAGGUUAUGGAGCACUCACAAAAAAGGACCUAUCAUGACUUCUCUCCAAAAGACCCAACAAGCAGCUGAAAGAGUCAGAUGCAGAUAUUUGCACCCAACCAAUGGACAGAAGCAGCUGACCCCUGUUGUUGAAAUAGGGAAGGUUGAAAGAAGCUUUAAGAAUCUUCCUCAAAACUUCAUAUCAUCUAUGACAACCACUACAGAGUACUCUGCUGCAGUAUAACACACCAUUUCUAAAAUAUUGACCUAACUAUUUAGUAAUCAGUUGUGUGGUCUUAUUUAACAUAUUUAAUUCAUUAAUAAUAACCUAACUUCAU